UGUGUUUGCCAAUUAUCCAGCAGAACAAAUUUCAGCUGAAGAAGAGUACAUCCUCAACUGGCCUAACCAGCAGCAUCAUGAAUCAAGUCGUAAAACCAACAAGAAAGGGAGGCCGUCUAAAGCAAAAUGUAGUAGGUUGGCUGCAACUAUCAUCUGCUCCAGCGAUGACAAGCUGUGGCUAACUCAAAAAGCUUCCAGUCUUGCAGCAGCUCGAGAGAUUAAUGGCUCUACGAAGAAUCCAUCCUCCUCUUUUGAUGAAGCUGAAACUGAUGCUGUCACACCUGAACCAACAUGAAAAUGACACCGAGCUGUGGCCCAAACUGAAAAAGCUAUACAACUGCAACAAGACAAGAAAGAAAAGGCUGCCGUUGAUAUAGCUGAAAAGGAGAGGUUGGCCUUAAAGGCUGAAAAGAAGAAUAAGAAGAAGGCUGACCGAAGUCAGCUGGCCAAUGAAAUAUUGAAACAAGUAGUGACGUCACCAUCAUCUUCAUCAGUUGCAGUUGCUUCAUCGCCUUCAGUUGCUGUCGGUGACGAUAAUCAGAAUUCUAAUUCAUCUCAAGAUUAUGAAGAUAUAAUGUUGAAAAUAAAAGAACAAAUUUUGAAAUCAUCAUCAGCAGCAUCAACCAUUUCUACCAAGUCAGAGGAUGUGUUGAAGCUGGAGGAACGAGUUGCAACUCUGGAGAAGGAAAUGAUUGAGUUUCGUCAUCGUAAUCACUUCAAUCAUCCUUUGGCUGUGUCUUAUUCAACCCCAUAUGUUUCGUCAGGCUAUUCAAGUUAUGAUUGGGGUUCUGCAGCACCGUCAACAAGUCAACAUGCUGUCGACCCACAUCCCACGACAAGUUUUUUCGGUGAGAUGAACAGCAAUUUCGGCAAUAAUUCUC